rnacentral:rRNA from 1 species
AGUGAACGCUGGCGGUAGGCCUAACACAUGCAAGUCGAACGGCAGCACAGUAAGAGCUUGCUCUUACGGGUUGCGAGUGGCGGACGUGUGAGGAAUACAUCGGAAUCUACUUUUUCGUGGGGGAUAACGUAGGGAAACUUACGCUAAUACCGCAUACGACCUACGGGUGAAAGCAGGGGAUCUUCGGACCUUGCGCGAUUGAAUGAGCCGAUGUCGGAUUAGCUAGUUGGCGGGGUAAAGGCCCACCAAGGCGACGAUCCGUAGCUGGUCUGAGAGGAUGAUCAGCCACACUGGAACUGAGACACGGUCCAGACUCCUACGGGAGGCAGCAGUGGGGAAUAUUGGACAAUGGGCGCAAGCCUGAUACAGCCAUACCGAGUGGGUGAAGAAGGCCUUCGGGUUGUAAAGCCCUUUUGUUGGGAAAGAAAAGCAGCAGGUUAAUACCACGCUGUUCUGACGGUACCCAAAGAAUAAGCACCGGCUAACUUCGUG